GCGAGGGGCUUAAAGGCGAUCUGCAGCGAAGCAGAAGUGCGCUCUCGAUGGUGCAGAAGGCCUGCCGAUUUGGGUGAUGCUCAGCGCUCUUUGAUCUUGCUUGGAUUCGGUUUUCUUUUACACUAGAAGUGCAGUUUUUCUGUAAGAUUGCGACUCUCUCAAAAAGGGAGGCUGGGGAAAGUUGCUGCAGCAACAGCACAAGUUAUGUAACACUCCAUUCAAUGAAGGAUGAGUAAGCUAGUUUGCAGGAGGCUGCAAUCCCAAACUCUCUGUUACUGUCUGCUCCUCUCCCUGUUUGCAAGAGAAAUCAACUUCUCCAGUCAGAGAAAAGCUGGGUCCAAAGCCAGCAUGUCCUGUACUACUUCUGUCAUUUUUGGAUGUUGAGUUGUCAGUCAGCAAUUCUGAUGAUCCUGCAUUUGCCUCACUUUUCUCCAUACGGUCUCUUCUCCUCUUUGCAAAGCAGCCAAGUCUAGAAUUUAUCUCUCUUACACACUAAGUAUGUGCAGCAAGAAAAGAUGCAAGACCUGUCACUGGAAUUUCAUGUCCUGUGUAUUUCAAGAGCCUCCAGUGGUUUUCUAGGUUUCCUGAAAAAGAAAAGGAAGAUGUAAUGAUUGUUUAUUUGCUGCACCUUACUAUGCAACUCCUUAGCUGGUUGAAUAUGAGCAUUCAGAUCAAUGUUCUCUUGAUGGACUAUGAAAAUAUGAUCCUGCUGGUGGGCAAAACACAAUCAUUCUCCCCAAAGUAAACAAAUGAAAGAAGCUCCAAACAGUGCCUAAAUCUUAUAGUAUUGUCUAAUGAAUUUGUGAGUGCAAUAGAUCAAAUAAAGAG